AGAAUCAACGCUGGCGGCGUGCCUAACACAUGCAAGUCGAACGCGAAAGCCUCGCAAGGGGCAAGUAGAGUGGCAAACGGGUGAGUAACACGUGGGUGACCUGCCUUCGAGCGGGGGAUAACGUCCCGAAAGGGACGCUAAUACCGCAUGACAUCCUGCCUUUGAAGAGGCGGAGAUCAAAGCUGGGGAUCGCAAGACCUGGCACUUGAAGAGGGGCCCGCGCCUGAUUAGCUAGUUGGCGAGGUAAUGGCUCACCAAGGCAACGAUCAGUA
rnacentral:rRNA from 1 species